rnacentral:tRNA from 1 species
GGAGAGAUGCCAGAGUGGUUGAAUGGGGCGGUCUCGAAAACCGUUGGACUAAUUUUUUAGUUCCGAGGGUUCGAAUCCCUCUCUCUCCG